GAUGAAGAACGCAGUGAAAUGCGAUACUUGGUGUGAAUUGCAGAAUCCCGUGAACCAUCGAGUCUUUGAACGCAAGUUGCGCCCGAAGCCAUUAGGCCGAGGGCACGCCUGCCUGGGCGUCACACGUCGUUGCCCCCCCAUCUACUCCUUCGGGAUUGCGGGGGGCGGAUGAUGGCCUCCCGUGCGCCUCGCCGCGCGGUUGGCAUAAAUGCCAAGUCCUCGGCGACGCACGCCACGACAAUCGGUGGUUGCGAAACCUCGGUUGCCCGUCGUGUGCGGUCGUCGCGCAUCGAGGGCUCGAAAAAAUUGCCGGGUUCCGGCUCGGCUUUCAACGCGACCCCAGGUCAGGCGGGGUUACCCGCUGAAUUUAAGCAUAUAAUAAGCGGAGGA
rnacentral:misc_RNA from 1 species